rnacentral:lncRNA from 1 species
AUGCGUUACCAGAGUGAUUUUUGUUGCGGUUUAAAUUAUUUAUUUUUGCUUUCAGUGAACUUUCUUUCCUUGAUCCUCCGAAUACCUUGUUUCUGUUGCUUACUAUCAUAGGAGAGCAUACCUUGUUCAUCGUUUUGGAAUGUCUGUGAGCCAGUCUUGUUUGCUUAAUCUUUCCUGCUUUGCAUUUUUAUAUUUUAUAGAUAAGAUAUUUUAUUCAUAGUGUAAAUAUACAAUUAAUGCUAUUAAAAUAUAUAGACUUUGAGCUUGACAGCAUCUCCUUUCUUUUUUUUUUCUCUCUUAACUUUUUUUUUUAUCCUCAGAAAGGUGUCAUGUCCAAAUGUAUGUCUGGGCAAAUAAUACAUUUGGGUGGUUCUAUUAACCAUCUAACUGUUCAUCUCCCUAUUUAUUUAUCUCUGCAUUAUGUUGGAAUCAACCCAAACUUACCAAAGGAUGUCAGUAUAGCUCCACAAAAUAAUGAAUAUCGUUAUAUUUUUCUGGCUACAUGAAGAUUCCUCUUUAAAUAAAUAAAUAAGCAUACUAUAAAAUAAUUGUAAAGCUAGAGAAGGAAUUAUGAACGUGAUCUUGUCCAGCUACGACUUUUUUUAAAAUGGCUAAUACUGCUCAGAAAUGUAAAUGACUUAAGGUCACAGAGCUAACCAGAGACAGAAAUGGGAGACAAAAAUGAGAAUGAAAAUCUAUAUUUUAUAUUUAUGUAAACAUGUUUAUAUGAAUAUAUAACAUAUAUACCUACGUGUAUUUAUAAUUUCAGUUUAGUACUGUUUUGGGGAUAUCAUGCUACCUCCUGAGUACAUAGUUGAUUAUUUUGACAUCAAUGGCCUCCUGGGUACACAUUUGAUUGUUUUAACAUCAAUGGCCCCUAAUAUAAUGGGAAAGGAAAGCAACUCCAUUUGGGGAAGAAAAAGGGUGUGGGGAUUCUAAAUUAGAUUUCAAAAAUGUUUUAGUAUACCACAAGGUUAUUAUAUGACCAGUGUUACCAACUGGUUUAAUACUUUAAAAUAUCAAAUGUUACUGCUCAACAAAAUGACAUUUAGAUCCAAAGGGACUUUUGAAACUCUUGAUUUUACAGAUGAAGGCAUCUGAAAAAUUGUGAUGACCCUGUUAAAGUUUGUGAUAACCGAGCAAGAAUUCUUAUACUUAUCUCUAGAUCACUUACCCAUUUCUUUUUUUUUAAACAGAGUACCUUAACUUUAGAGUCGGGUAAAAAUGAAUAUUCCAUUUUUUUCUGUAAUAUAUUUGUGUUCAUAUGAUGCGUGUGUGUUCAAUAUAAUACUAUAUUAACAUAUCAAAGUUGGUUGUCAGGAGAAAUGAUAGAAUCUUCUAGUCUAUAUAUAAAUUAUGUUUAAUUAAAUGUUGCAUUUCAGGUGGACACUCGUAUGAUGGCCUCCUUAUUAGAUUAGCUAUUAUUGUAUGUUUGUUGUUAGUUUCAGAAUAAUGGCUGCAUGAUAUGUGUUGCUUAUGUUACAAUUAAAUUGGUCCAGUUGAGAAAAUAACCAAAGGCUGGGAUCAGAUGUAAAAUGCUGUUUUAUUAAUGAAAAUACAUGUUGCAAAGAUGUAUUCCCCAAGUUAAAUUUUUUUACAAGGUAGAAGUUUAUUCUUCUCUUGCAUAAACUUUUGAGUUGGUACGACUUCUGUGCUCUGUAGUCAUCAGAAACUAGAGUUCCUUUUCUCUUAAUGCUCAACUAGUCUAGGAAUUGAACUUACACAUGUGAUGCAAGAGCAAUCGCCCCCACAUCUGAUUACUAGAAAGAGGAAAAAUAAAGGAAAGGAUGUUCCUUCCAUUGAAACCUUCCAUGAUUUCAAUAGCUGGAAAGGAGAUACUUGGCCACAAACUGUUUGAAGAGGGCUUAGAAAUGGAGUAUUUACUCUGGAAAGCUAUUUGCCCAGAUAAACUGACUCACACUAUUACAGAAGGAGACUACAGAAUUGGAUAUAGACAGCAGCAGUACCACCAUGUCUAUGUGUCAUACAGCAACAUAUUUUUAACUUUGGGAGAAAAAAUGUUCUUGUUUAAAAUUAAAAUUUUGUCAUGGUAUUAGAGAAUGGUUUCCACGCAAAAUAAAUUUUAAUGUCAUUUUAAAACUUAGAAGUAUGAAACAAUGGCAUUGCCAGGGAUUGCAUUUUCCAUUUUAUGAUAGGGUAAUGUGUUAAAUAAGUGGUAAACAAAACAUCCAUGUAUUCUAAAAUUCAGGAUAGGUAGAUACAGAAUUUGUACAAUGAGUGUAUUAAAACUUAUCCCACUUUUCUUAAAGCCCUCCUCUGUAAUCCUACUCAAAGUUUUAGUAGUAAAAAUUAAAGAAUAAACAAAACAUUGGCUAAAAUUAAAACCUCUGAUAAUUUUUGUUUUACUAAGCAAUAUCAUUUUUCAGUUCUUUCUUUGUUUCACUCAAUAAAUGGUUUAACUUGGGGGUCUGCACAUUUCUCUAUUUCUUUUGUUUUCUCUGAAAAUCUCAUAUAACCUAGACCCGUGAAUUAGGUAAAUCCUCCCUCUAGUCACCAGUGUUAGGAAAUGUUACCCUGUGGAAAGCCACAAAAAGUAAACGCUGUACAAAUGGAACAAUUGGGUCAGUGCCUCACAAAAGUGUCCCUUGAUGUGAGGAAAGUCCACAUGACCAUUAUAAGCAAAUAAAAGCUGGUGAAGAUUUUAAAAAUAUAUUUCCAUACUUUUAAAACUAAACGUAAAAUUGUGCAGAAAAUGCCUUACUACAACCAUAAGACACUCAAGAAAUUGAAGAGCAUACUAUCAUAAUAAGGGACCCUCUGCAGGCAGGCUCCUUUCAUUGCAAAUUUUAGAGACCCAAUUUGAUUAAAAUCAAUGAAAUAAAACAACUUUCUAUUUCAUGUGGAAUUAUAUAUCUAAAAGUUGUCUUGCUGUUGCUAAACAAUAAGCAUCAAUCCUUAAGGUGUCACUUGUUAAACAGCUACAAUAGUUUCUCAGCCACAUUUUCCAAGGCUUUAAAACAACAGUCUCAGCCACAUUUUCCAAGGUUUCUUUUAAUGUUAUUAGAGAUUAUAUUCAUUUCUGCUAUAACAGGAGGUUAAUUAAAUCCAGUUUUCUUUCUAUGGCUAUGAAAUGACAAUAGAGAAUGUCUACACUGCUUCACUCUCCACAAAUACAUGGGCAGACAAAUAAUUUGGCAUAGCUUUUUCACACAACAUUUUCUCUAAUCUCCUUAAUGAACUCCAGAGGCUAGAAAAUUUUAAAGUACAUUCCCCUGGCAGUAAGUGGUCUGGGAGGGGUAGGGGUGAUUCAUAUUCCUUUUUCCAAAUGCCCUCCUCAUCUUUGAAUUAGAAAUUGAGUUAAAUAAAGAGAAAGACCAGGUGAAAGGUAUUGAUUUGGCUACCAGGGGUAAUUGUUGAAGAAGCAUGGUUUUGUUGUCCCCCUUACCUGAGACAGUGUUGGCAACUGUUUGGACCACAGCGAUGUGAUCCUGGGGCUAGAUGUUCUCUUGACAGCUACCUAGUCCUCUCUUUUCAUGUUGUGAAAGAUACCAUCUAUCACUCAAAAUGAAAUAAUAAUAAUAAUAAUAAUAAUUUAUUUUGCCUGAAAUUGCUAGAGUGGUUUGUUUUCUGCACUGACCUGUUAACUAAAACCUGUUUGUAACAAUAACCUCUGUAACUAGUAUUUAAUCAUAUCUCAACCUUUCUUAGAUUAUGUAAUUUGGGAGUGGGACAAGGGAAGCUUGAGCUAGGAAAAAAAAAAUGAAAGUGAGAAAUAGCUAGUUAUGUUUCCAAAACUAUAAUUAUUUCGAAAAACAAUCAUGACUUAAUGAAAUAAUAUGUGAUUUUAAAUUUAUUUUGACCCUCCUGUCCCUUCUCAUUAUAAGCAGCCAUGUUCUGUAUACUUUAGGUGUAAAGGUCAGGGCUGGGUUUUUUUCUUAGAUCGAAUCUGAAUCACUUGCUUGAUUUUUUUUUUUCCUACUAUAUUUAAUGUGGAAUUUUUUUUGGUUACAUAUGAAAAGGUUUACAAAUAAAUUGAAUCUUAUCAUCUUAGCAAGACAGAAAAAAAAGUUUGAAUAAUUCUUGUGUUGAUUGAGAAGUAAAUUCUUACUCAAUCUGAUGGCUUCCAUCUAAAUCCGAAUAAAAGGAUAGUGCCUUAUUUUCAAUUUUGAAACAUUGGUGAAGUGAAAGUAAUCAGGAUUGAAUUUUCCUUUGUCUGGUUAUGAUUUAAAUUUAUGCCUGAGAAAGUGAAUAAAAGGAAAAUCUUUCGACUAAGGAAAAGUGGAAAACAAUAAAUCAUAAUUUUAAUGUGUCUGCAAUUGCAUUUAAUGAACAAGAAUACAAUCUUUUAUGUUUAUAUUUUAAGUUGUAUUGUUAAUACCAAGACUAGGGCUGAGCGGUAAGAUCAACAUUUUAAUUAAUAUUAUCACUCUGAAAAGACAUUCUGAGAAUUCUUAAACUCUUUUUAGGAAAAGGCAAUGUUUUUUUAAACAAAUUAAAAUCUCAACUAUUUCUUCCCUGUUAAAAUAUUUCAUUCUUCCUCUUCCUUUCUUUCACCUAUUAUUUGUCACUAACUGUUAGUCUGGUGAUAUUUUAUCCUACUUGUAAGCUAUCAGUUUGGCUUGUGAGCUUGAUGGGUGUUGGUAGAAGAGGGGAGAACCCUAAAUCAGCGACAAAAGGCACAGGGAGCAGCAUGGCCAUCAUAUCUGUGCCAGUUUUCUUUGUCCCCACAUUACAUAUGCCCAUGCCUAAGAUGAACAAGUGGAUGCUGCACAUGCAGUGAGUUUUCAUUAUAGCUCAGGGGCACCAAGCUUAGGGAGCCCCACAUUUUCUGUAACGGACUGUGACCGAAACUGCCUGAACUCCAAUAGGAGAUAUUAUCUUUUUGGUGUUCAAAUACAAAUCCCUCUACUCUGAUGGAGAUGAUAACUCAUCAUCAAAGGCUGUUCCUAUAUAAAUGUCCUUAGAGAUAGUUUAAAGAAAAGGGAUAUUAGGAAUUCCCAUCGUGGCUCAGAGGGUAGCGAAUUCAACUAAGAACCAUGAGGUUACAGGUUCAAUCCCUGGACUUGCUCAGUGGGUUAAGGAUCUGGCAUUGCCAGGAGCUGUGGUGUAGGUUGCAGACGCGGCUCUGAUCCUGCGUCGCUGUGGCUCUGGUGUAGGCCGGUGGCUACAGCUCCAAUUCGACCCCUAGCCUGGGAACCUCCAUAUGCCGCGGGAGCGGCCCAAGAAAUG